GGGGGAAGGGGAGAUUCCUAUUUAUUUGCAAAUAAUAAAUAAUAAAUGAUGGACUGGGGUGGGGAGUGGGGAUCCAACCUCAAAUCUAGCUGGUAUUCUGCCCCAGCCCUGCUGUGGGCAUUGGAUGCAGGCAGGCUCCCAGUCUCCCAUCAAUAAACAAAGCAAAGUGCAAAGCUGUUUGCAUUGCCAUCUGCCUUCUGUAUAUAAAAGAGGAGACAGGAGUUGCCUUCAUGGCUCAGAGGUUAAAGAACCUGCUUAAGCUCAAUGAAGAUGAGGGCUCAAUCCCUAGCCUUGCUCAGUGGGUUAAGAAUCCAGCGGUGUUGCUGUGGUUGUGGCAUAGGCUGACAGCUGUGGCUCCGAUUCGACCCCCAGCCUGGGAACCUCCAUAUGCCAUGAGUGCAACCCUAAAAAAGUGGGGUGGGGGGGACAAAGAAUAGAUACCCAAGAAUGUAUUUUUUUUAAUCUCUAUAAAAAUACCUAAGAAUUUAAAAAUAGUUGCUGCUGGCCUGUAGAUCAGGGAAUGAAUGAUUGGUGUGUGUGUGUGUGUGUGUGCACGCGCGUGUGCACAUAUAUGCAUAAUGAUACUGGAGAAUUGGGUUUUCCAUCCUCUUAUACUUCUUUAAUUUUGAAGCUGUGUUUUGUGUUUAAAGAAUUAAAUUGUAUAAGAGGGAAAAAGCACAAUGGGAUAAUUUCCCAAGGUUGUGAGUUGAGGGGGCUAAGUUUGAACAUCUUCCUGUAUCCCAAACCUCAGGCUAAGCCUCAGACAUAAGGAGACACGUGACCUUUCUGCAGCUUUUUCACCAUUUCCAGUAAGUCUUCGGUCUUCUUUAAAGACUUGGUCUGACCUGUGGAGAUGAAAACCAGAAUUACAGCAUGCCACGAGAGUGAGAGGGGACUGAGGAAAGGUCCAAACUUAUCUGGGAACGGAGGGAAAAAGCCUCAGUGGGUUCUGAGGACACCCCUGGGCUGAGCCAAGGAUAGGCUGGGGGGCAGCUUUCCAGCCAGAGCAGGGUCCAGGCAGGACCCCUGAUGGUGUGUGCCCGAUGAAUCAAGAACUCCUACAGGUCAGUUCUCCCUGAAAGGUCAUGGAACACCACAGUCAUCCCCUUAACGAAAUCCCAAGGUGAGAGAAGGGGAUGUACUUUUGCUGCUGCUGUUCAAAAUCAGAAGUUUUAACCAAUGCACUAGGACAGAACGACAUCAUAUGAAUUUCUUUAAAAUCAUGAUAGGCCACAAUGUGCAAAUUCUUAAAGAACUGAAGGGUCUAGGAAAUGGUUCACUAAUGGCUGCUAACAUCCACACAAGACAACUGGAUAUUCGGUCUCCUGAUGGAAGAACACAACGCAACCUGUGAAGGAUUUUACUCCCUCACCCCAACACCCCAAAAAGGGUGGGGACUCUUAUCAAGUAACCAGGUUUCCAUAUCUAAAUACCAAUUCAGAGGAACCAUACGAGACAGGAAAACAUGUUAAAUGACACCGUGAGAAUGAAAUCAGCAUCCUCCAGACUCCAGGUGACGGCGUGGGACAACUUGGUUUCUUUGACAAAUAAAUUGCAAAGAAGGAAAAGAGAGAGAGAGGAAACUCUACAGAUUAAAAGAGAUUUGAGGCACUUCAGACUAUACCACAAAGCUAGUCAUCAAAAUGGCAUGGUACUGGCACAAAAACAGACAUAUACAUCAGUGGAAGAGCAUACACAGCCCAGACAAACACACACACUUAUGGUCAAUUAAUCUACAGUAGGGGAGCCAAGAAUAUACAAUGGAGAAAAGACAGUCUCUUCAAUAAGUGGUGCUGGGAAAACUGGACAGCUACAUGCAAGAGGAUGAAACUAGAACACUCUCUAACACCAAACACAAAAAUAAACUCCAAAUGGAUUAAAGACCUGAACAUAAGACAGAUACUAUAAAACUCUUAGAGGAAAACAUAGGCAGAACACUCUAUGACUAAAUCAAAGCAAUAUCUUUUUGACCCACCUCCUAGAAUAAUAAAAAUAAAAACAAAAAUAGGGAGUUCCCAUCAUGGCACAGUGGAAAUGAAUCCGACUAGGAACCAUGGGGUUGUGGGUUCGAUCCCUGGCCUCGCUCAGUGGGUUAAGGAUCUGACAUUGCUGUGGCUGUGGUGUAGGCCGGCAGCUAUGGCUCCAAUUGGACACCUAGCCUGGGAACCUCCAUAUGCUGUGGGUCUGGCCCUAAAAAGACAAAAAUAAAAUAAAAACAUAAAACCAAAAAUAAAAAAAACAGGACCUAAUUAAGCUUAAAAUCUUUUGCACAGCAAGGGAACCAUAAACAAAUGAAAAGACAACUCACAGAAGGGAAGAAAAUCUUUGUAAAUGAAGUGACCAACAAGGGAUUAAUCUCUGAAUUAUACAAACAUCUCAUGCUCAAUAUAAAAAAAAUUAAAAAUGGUCAAAAGAUCUAAAUAGACACUUCUCUGAAGACAGACAGACAGAUGACUAGAAAGGGCAUAAAAAGAUGCUCAACAUCACUAAUUAUUAGAGAAAUGCAAAUAAAAACUAUCACCUCACACCAGUCAGAAUGGGCAUCAUCAAAAAGUCUACAAACAAUAAAGGCUGGAGAGGACGUGGAGAAAAGGGAACGCUCUUACACUGUUGGUGGGAAUGUAAAUUGGUACAACCACUAAGGAGAACAGUGUGGAGGUUCCUUAAAAAAUUAAAUAUAGAACAUAUGAUGCACCAUAUGGUUUCCUGGGCAUCUAUCUGGAGGAAACCAUAAUUUGAAAAGAUACAAGCACCCCAAUGUUCACGGCAGCACAAUUUACAAUAGCCAAGACAUGGAAGCAACCCAGACGUCCACCAACAGAGGAGUGGAUAAAGAAGAUGUGGUACAUAUACACAAUGGAAUAUUACUUUAACCAUAAAAAAGAAUGAAAUAACGGCAUUUGCAGCAACACGGAGAGACCCAAAAAUUAUCAUACUAAAUGGAGUAAGUCAGAAAGAGAAAGACAAAUAUCACAUGAAAUCCCUAAUAUGUGGAAUUUAACAAAAAAUGAUACAAAAGAAUGUAUAAAAUAGAAACAGACUCAAAGAUUUUGAAAACAAAUUUAUGGUUACCAAAGGAGAAACGUGGGGUGAUACAUGAGGUGGCUGGGAUUGACAUAUACAUACUACCAUAUGUGUAAUAACCUACCUGGGAAAAGAAUCUGAAAAGGAAUGGAUAUAGGUAUAACUGAUUUACUUUGAUGUACCCCUGAAACUAACACAACUUUGUAAGUCAACUACAAUAAAAUUUAUUUUAAAAAGA
rnacentral:lncRNA from 1 species